GAACAUCUAUUUAAAACCCUUCAGACUGAUUGGCCUGGAUACAGUGAAACUGAUAGAGAGAAUUUGAAGUUAAUACUUUCUAGAAAAUCAGCUCCAUCUCAGACCCCCACCAUCACCAGCCAGGUGACAUCUCCAGGGCCUUCUGGGAGAGAUGUUCCAGCAAGAUCUGCUCAGAAACGGCCUCUGGCUUCUGACUUUACCAGUGCUGUGAUGAGCAAGAAGAAUCGAAUUGGUCACCAGCAAUUCUCCAGUCACACCCAGCCAGCAGCUGGAGGCCUCUCU